UAGGGAAUAUUGCAAAAUGGGCGAAAGCCCGAUGCAGCAACGCCGCGUGGGCGAUGAAGGCCUUCGGGUCGUAAAGCCCUUUUUGAGGGGAUGAGGAAGGACAGUACCCUCAGAGUAAGCCUCGGCUAACUACGUGCCAGCAGCCGCGGUAAAACGUAGGAGGCGAGCGUUAUCCGGAUUUACUGGGCGUAAAGCGCGUGCAGGCGGAUUGGAGAGUUGGAUGUGAAAGCUCCCGGCUUAACUGGGAGAGGUCGUUCAAUACUUCCAGUCUUGAGUGCAGUAGAGGGAAGUGGAAUUCCGGGUGUAGUGGUGAAAUGCGUAGAUAUCCGGAGGAACACCAGUGGCGAAAGCGGCUUCCUGAACUGUAACUGACGCUCAGACGCGAAAGCUAGGGUAGCAAACG
rnacentral:rRNA from 1 species